CAAGCAAGCUGGCUUAUCGCUCUGGUAAAAGUACCAGGGAGGAAAGUCCGAGCAACAUAGAGCACCCUACUUCUUAACAGGAAGGCACCUAGUAAGAAAGCUAGGAUAGCAGACAGUGCCACAGAAAAUAAACCGCCUAGCAAUAGGUAAGGGUGAAAAGGUGGGGUAAAAGCCCACCGCUUUGUUGGUGACAACAAAGGCACGGUAAACCUUAGGGGUUGCAAGGCCAAGUAAGUGUUGCUUUCCCAUAAAAGGGGAUAACAGGCUGCUCGUCUGUAUUUCAGUUAUUGAAAGGCAACAUGGGUAGGCCGCUAGAGGAUGCAAGUGAUUGCAGACCCAGAUAAAUGAUAAGCACGCUCGGUUUUCUUAUAGAAGAACAGCGUACAGAACUCGGCUUAUAGGCUUGCUUUGUAU
rfam:Candidatus Amoebophilus asiaticus 5a2, complete genome.